GUACCUUACGGGACCCCGAUUAGGGGCUAGGUGUUCCUCCCAUAAUCCUCUAGUGCACAGGUAUUAGCAUAAGGUAUUAGCAUAUGCUGUGUACUAGAUAGAGGAUUGUGGAAGGAACACCUAGCUAAUGAUAGGUGUUCCUCCCGUAAUUAGCAUAAGGUAUUAGCAUAUGUGAAGCGUAACAUCGCUCAAAAAAGUCAUUGUCUAACAAAUUCCUCGUUUUGACAAGGUAAUCGUCUAGUGAGGGACCACUGUAUUAAAUAACAGAGGCCUGUCACCAGGUGACAGGUCAGCUGAUCCACAAUUGUCAUAUAAAUGCAUUAGUCAAACACUGGCAUUACCACACAACCAAACACAAACUAAAUGUUGACUCUAAUAUCCUCCUAUGUUGGACACUGCAAGAAGUACUAUGAAAUCAGAGCAAGUGGUACUCCAUCCAGAGGGGAGAGUGCCAUUUACUCCCCACAACUGCUUGUUGUACAUGCACAUACACCAAAUCAAGAUGAAUUUCUCUUGCACUGUCUGACACUAUGAUUCCCCUGAAGUCUAGUUCUAGGGUAUGUGGCAGCGUGUCACAUUCUCCUGCUGCAUCCCAGAAGGAAAGCAAAGGUAAAUUAUACAAAAGGACUACCUAGAUGACCCACAAAGAGACACUGUUCUUUUCUUGCUGUAUUUUGUGAGCUGUUCAAGGGGUUCAUUCAGGCUAUAAAAUGUAGCAAAUGAAUAAGUACUACAUAGUGAAGAACAUGCAAUUAAUUGGGUAUUUUAUUCUAUUUUCCCCCCAAUUCAUUCCCCCUUUCUUUACUGGGACAGAGACAGAAUGAUCUGUGUGAUGGUAGUGGAUUGCAAACUAAGUUAGUAAAACGGACUGGAAAAGCAACAGAGAAAUGCUGAGAAAGCAAGCUGCAAUGCCUGGCAGCCACAAUUCCUAUUCUGCAGAUAUGUACAACUUCUGAAGCCCACUGCAGAGUCCUCCGUCUUAAGCAAAUGCCGAUCUGUGGUAUGUAGAAAAUGUGCACAUCAAAUCAAGAAACAUGCUAACAUGCAAAGGAACACAUACAUUUUGUUUCAAUUCAUGCAUAUCUCUAGUUCACUGAAGAAGACAAAAGAACUUUCAGAAUCUCAAUCUAGCAAUCUUAAAGAAAUCACUUCUAAUAGUGAUAUUUUUACUGUGCAAAUUGUAUCUGAUGUGUUAUCUUACUAUAUCUCUACGCCAGUUUCCACAGGAUUCAGUCAUAUCCUGAGAACUGUGCUUACUAUGUACAGUAUAUGAUAAUAACUAAACAACUCAGUGUUCAAAUUUAUGGAUGAUCCUUAACACUGAUUUUUUAAGGCUAGGAAUACUUUGUUCCUUUUUUUU